rnacentral:rRNA from 1 species
UACGUAGGGACCAAGCGUUGUUCGGAUUUACUGGGCGUAAAGGGCGCGUAGGCGGCCCCGCAAGUCACUUGUGAAAUCUCCGGGCUUAACUCGGAACUGCCAAGUGAAACUGCAGGGCUAGAGUGCGGAAGGGGCAAUCGGAAUUCUUGGUGUAGCGGUGAAAUGCGUAGAUAUCCGGAGGAACACCGGUGGCGAAGGCGGCUUCCUGGACCGACACUGACGCUGAGGCGCGAAAGCUAGGGGAGCAAACGGG